AUGAAUGCUGGCGGCGUGUCUAAGGCAUGCAAGUCGAGCGUAUCACUUUUUGUAGCAAUACUUAGAGUGGUAAGCGGCAAACGGGAGCGUAACACAUUGGUAACCUGCCUCGAAGACGUGGAUAACUCGCCGAAAGGCGAGCUAAUAUACGAUAUUAAUGCGAAGACGCAAGUUCUUGCAUUGAAAGCCCAAAAGGCACUUCGAGAGGGACCUAUGUUCUAUCAGCUAGUUGGUGAGGUAAUGGCCCACCAAGGCUAUGACGGAUAGCAGGCGUGAGAGCGUGACCUGCCUCAGUGGGACUGAGACACUGCCCACACUCCUACGGGAGGCUGCAGUCAAGAAUCUUCCUCAAUGGACGAAAGUCUGAAGGAGCGACGCCGCGUGCAGGAUGAAGCCCUUCGGGGUGUAAACUGCUUUUCCCAGGGACGAAUUUCGAUGACGGUACCUGGGGAAUAAGAGGUUGCUAACUCUGU
rnacentral:rRNA from 1 species